rnacentral:rRNA from 1 species
GACGAACGCUGGCGGCGUGCUUAACACAUGCAAGUCGAACGGAAAGGCCCUGCUUUUUUGGUGUGCUCGAGUGGCGAACGGGUGAGUAACACGUGAGUAACCUGCCCUUGACUUUGGUAUAACUUCAGGAAACUGGGGCUAAUACCGGAUAGGAGCUCCUGCUGCAUGGUGGGGGUUGGAAAGUUUCGGCGGUUGGGGAUGGACUCGCGGCUUAUCAGCUUGUUGGUGGGGUAGUGGCUUACCAAGGCUUUGACGGGUAGCCGGCCUGAGAGGGUGACCGGCCACAUUGGGACUGAGAUACGGACCAGACUCCUACGGGAGGCAGCAGUGGGGAAUAUUGCACAAUGGGCGGAAGCCUGAUGCAGCAACGCCGCGUGCGGGAUGACGGCCUUCGGGUUGUAAACCGCUUUCGCCUGUGACGAAGCGUGAGUGACGGUAAUGGGUAAAGAAGCACCGGCUAACUACGUG